UACAGAGGGGGCAAGCGUUGUUCGGAAUUACUGGGCGUAAAGGGCGCGUAGGCGGCCGCCUAAGUCAGACGUGAAAUCCCUCAGCUUAACUGGGGAACUGCGUGUGAUACUGGAUGGCUUGGAUUUGGGAGAGGGAUGCGGAAUUCCAGGUGUAGCGGUGAAAUGCGUAGAUAUCUGGAGGAACACCGGUGGCGAAGGCGGCGUUCUGGACUGCAUCGUGACACUGAAAGACGAAGCCAGGGGAGCAAAGCGGG
rnacentral:rRNA from 1 species